GUGUAUUUAUUAGAUAAAAAACCAAUGCCCUUCGGGGCUCCUUGGUGAUUCAUAAUAACUUAACGAAUCGCAUGGCCUUGCGCCGGCGAUGGUUCAUUCAAAUUUCUGCCCUAUCAACUUUCGAUGGUAGGAUAGUGGCCUACCAUGGUUUCAACGGGUAACGGGGAAUUAGGGUUCUAUUCCGGAGAGGGAGCCUGAGAAACGGCUACCACAUCCAAGGAAGGCAGCAGGCGCGCAAAUUACCCAAUCCCGACACGGGGAGGUAGUGACAAUAAAUACUGAUACAGGGCUCUUUUGGGUCUUGUAAUUGGAAUGAGUACAAUUUAAAUCCCUUAACGAGGAACAAUUGGAGGGCAAGUCUGGUGCCAGCAGCCGCGGUAAUUCCAGCUCCAAUAGCGUAUAUUAAAGUUGUUGCAGUUAAAAAGCUCGUAGUUGAACCUUGGGCCUGGCUGGCCGGUCCGCCUCACCGCGUGCACUGGUCCGGCCGGGCCUUUCCUUCUGGGGAGCCGCAUGCCCUUCACUGGGUGUGUCGGGGAACCAGGACUUUUACUUUGAAAAAAUUAGAGUGUUCAAAGCAGGCCUAUGCUCGAAUACAUUAGCAUGGAAUAAUAGAAUAGGACGUGUGGUUCUAUUUUGUUGGUUUCUAG
rnacentral:rRNA from 1 species